UGGGGAAUAUUGCACAAUGGGCGGAAGCCUGAUGCAGCAACGCCGCGUGCGGGAUGACGGCCUUCAGGUUGUAAACCGCUUUCGCCUGUGACGAAGCGUGAGUGACGGUAAUGGGUAAAGAAGCACCGGCUAACUACGUGCCAGCAGCCGCGGUGAUACGUAGGGUGCGAGCGUUGUCCGGAUUUAUUGGGCGUAAAGGGCUCGUAGGUGGUUGAUCGCGUCGGAAGUGUAAUCUUGGGGCUUAACCCUGAGCGUGCUUUCGAUACGGGUUGACUUGAGGAAGGUAGGGGAGAAUGGAAUUCCUGGUGGAGCGGUGGAAUGCGCAGAUAUCAGGAGGAACACCAGUGGCGAAGGCGGUUCUCUGGGCCUUUCCUGACGCUGAGGAGCGAAAGCGUGGGGAGCGAACAGGCUUAGAUACCCUGGUAGUCCACGCUGUAAACGGUGGGUACUAGGUGUGGGGUCCAUUCCACGGGUUCCGUGUCGUAGCUAACGCUUUAAGUACCCCGCCUGGGGAGUACGGCCGCAAGGCUA
rnacentral:rRNA from 1 species